UUGCUUUUUGUGGACAGCUUGUAG
rnacentral:piRNA from 1 species